CUUAAAGUGAAUUAUUUUUAAAUAAGAGUGUAAGUUGAAAUAGGAUUUGGUGUUAAAAUGUGUGGAGGUUUUACUUGUUCGAAAAAUGCGCUAAUUGCGCUCAACAUUUUGUAUGUGAUGGUGGGAUUCCUGUUGAUUGGCGUUGGCGUGUAUGCGCGUGCAGCUUCCAUUGUCACAAAUCUACCAAUUGUGGGUGGUAUUUUAGCCUGUGGCGUCAUAUUGAUAUUAAUAUCAAUACUCGGACUGAUCGGUGCAGUGAAACAUCAUCAAGUGAUGCUGUUUUUCUACAUGAUCAUUCUCUUCAUGCUCUUCCUCAUUCAAUUCUCCAUUGCCAGCUCUUGCUUGGCUGUUAAUUCUGAGCAGCAAAAAGAGUUCGCUGAGGAGGGUUGGAAUAAUGUACCAGAUUCUAUGCGUCAACAAGUGCAGGAUACAUUCACUUGCUGUGGCUUUAAUUCAACACAUACAGGCACAACAUGUGAAGCAGUCACUAAGAAAUGCUGUCCCGAUUACAUGGAAAAUUGCGCCUGCCCACCGUGUCUGCCCGCUUUGGAAGAUAAGAUCAGCUAUGCCUUUAAAUUGUGCGGCGGUUUGGGAAUUUUCUUCAGCUUCACUGAGUUCAUUGGUGUAUGGCUAACAGUUCGUUAUCGCAAUCAGAAAGAUCCACGCGGUUUGCCGAGUGCAUUUCUUUAAAAUGUCUUGCCCGACAAGAAAUUUAACAACUAAUAAUGCAUAUUUAAACAAUACAUAUAUAUCAUACUAAUACGCAUUCAUACACACAUAACUCAUUCACGCUUCAUUCUUUAUCCUAAAAAACAAAAAAAUCGAAACCGUAACCAACGUCAUAGGUUUUCAUGCAUUUAUAUAUAUAGAGAUACAAUCAUAACUGUUUACGGAAAUGAUUCAUAUUCAUACAUAUAUGUACAUAUAGCUAUAAAUCUAAAUAUAUAUAAAAUGACACAUAUUUAAUGAUAACUAUAAAUGUAUUUUAAACAUAACAGAAAAUGUUUGCCACAAUUUUGGCAACUUUUUUAAUAACUGUAAAAGUGAAAAUCGUAAAACUGGGAUUUAAUCAUAAGCCAGGUAUCAAAUGUAUGUACGUUGCCGCUGAUCACUAGUACUGUUUUUUGGAUUGGGCAUGCAAUUAAUAACACCACCUUAGUAUACACUCAAAAAUUUACAAUAUAUAUGCACUGUAACAGCAUUUUCAAGUGGAUUAUACAGCUGAGUUUAAACCACAACCAUCAUCAAUCUUAUACUACAUACCUAUACGAGUAUUGUACUUAAAUACUAGGGUACUGGCAGUCUUCUUGGCGCGUCGCUAUCGCAAUCAACACGAUCCAAACUAUCCACCAGCGCGCGCAAUUUUCCCACACAAUUACCAGUAUUAGUGAAAAAUCAUAAAAUGAGUUUCAAAUGAAAGCCGUUAGCGCAAAAAACAAUUAUAUAAAUUAAGCUUUAAGUUUGCGCAAGCGUAUAUAGUUUGGCUUGGAACCGUUUUAGCAAACGCGAACAAUUCACUAACACUUCCACACAUAAAUGCAAUUCAAAAUGUUGCUAUACAUUUCGUUUACUUCCUUUUAGUCACAAUUUAUUAGUUGGCAUUUGAAGAUUUCAUAUUUUAUGUAUACUUAUUUGGUUGUAAUUUUUGUGUUCAAACUGCGCUUGCAUAUAUUUAGUAAAAUUAUGUUUAAAUUAAGUUUACACCAGCUAUAUUGAUUUGAUUCUGUAAUAUUCUAGUGAUUUUUAUGUACUAAAGCAAAUUGUAUUUACUUUUGUUUACAAUUUGUUGAAUUUAGUUCAACUUUUUGAGAUUAUUAUUUUUUAAAUAAAAUUCAUAAUUUAAAUAGCAUAAUUGUAAUUUUGUGUAUGGGUUGCUAAAACAAAAAAUACUAUAAAUAUAUACAUACAUGUAUAAACCUAACAUGUACUAUCUAUGUUUGCUCAAUAGCUCUAGUUUAAACAUAUAUGUAUUGGUUGUAUGUAGAUUUUAUUGUAAAUGUUCCUUUAAUUUUAAACAACUACCCACAGCACUGAAGGCAAUCAUAGAAAAAUGUGUAGACAUUAUUGAUAAAAUAUUUCCAGCAUAAUGAUAUAACGAAAACCUAAUUAUUAAACUCAUUAAAUUAAUACCAAGCUUCCUUGCAAACAGCUGCUUUAUUGUGGUAUACAGACACCGUUCUCCGUUAAAAAAUUUUGCUAAUUUCUAUAAAAUUUUCAAAAAUCAUGCAUAACACCUUCACCUUUACACUCGAUACAUAUGUACAUGUUUAUACACAACAUUUUUAAGAUUGUAUGGUCAUUUGCAAAUAACAUACUUAUACAUACAUAUAUACAUAUACGAUGAAGUACGAUAAUAUUCUCUGUAUUCUGUGCUGUGAUUGAAAUAAAUAUGAUCUUUAAACUGUA